GAUAAAAAGAGAGAAAGAGAAAACGAGAGAAAAAGAAAGAUAGUUGUAUCAACGAAAUUGCACAUAGAUGAAAGACAAAGAGAAGAAGAGUCACGUUGGGUUGUAUCACUGAUUCUGGCUGAUGGAAAGAUGGCGGAGGGCGGAGCGGCAUCUAGACUAACUUGUACCGGGUGGUACCGCAUCACUGUCAGCAAAAACCGCAUAAAACGGCACCAUUCGCUUCUCUGGUGUACCGAUACAGGAGGGGAUUCUAGUUGCUCGUGGGGCAGGACGGAAGUUCAAGGCAGUCUCGGCGCCACAGGGACGCAUGAGAAGCUCCAUGCUGAUGAUGAUGUGCACGCCAUAUACACUUUCAGUUUAAUCGGAUGACCGUUCUUCUGUAUAUUUUUUAUGUUCUUAACUAUCCUAAUUUGCUUGAAAUAUAUCUUUAUUUCUGAUAAAUAAAUUUUUAUUGUCCUUAUAUUAAAAUUAAUUUUUAAAUUUACUUACUUAUAUAUUUAUUGAAAGAAUUAAGAAUUAUCACGCUUUAAUUAUUGUUUAAAUAGAGAAUUUAUAAAAGAUAUAAUAUUGAUCUUUUUUGUAUUUGAGAAUUGGAUUUAAAAAAAAUAUAUAAUGUUCCACAAAAAAAAAAUAAUAAAA